GGUUCGAUUCUGGCUCAGAUUGAACGCUGGCGGGAUGCUUUACACAUGCAAGUCGAACGGCAGCACGGACUUCGGUCUGGUGGCGAGUGGCGAACGGGUGAGUAAUGUAUCGGAACGUGCCUAGUAGCGGGGGAUAACUACGCGAAAGCGUAGCUAAUACCGCAUACGCCCUUCGGGGAAAGCGGGGGACCUUCGGGCCUCGCACUAUUAGAGCAGCCGAUAUCGGAUUAGCUAGUUGGGCC
rnacentral:misc_RNA from 1 species